rnacentral:rRNA from 1 species
GCUCAGAUUGAACGCUGGCGGCAUGCUUUACACAUGCAAGUCGAACGGCAGCACGGGAGCAAUCCUGGUGGCGAGUGGCGAACGGGUGAGUAAUGCAUCGGAACGUGCCCAGUCGUGGGGGAUAACGCAGCGAAAGCUGCGCUAAUACCGCAUACGAUCUAUGGAUGAAAGCGGGGGACCGUAAGGCCUCGCGCGAUUGGAGCGGCCGAUGUCAGAUUAGGUAGUUGGUGGGGUAAAGGCUCACCAAGCCAACGAUCUGUAGCUGGUCUGAGAGGACGACCAGCCACACUGGGACUGAGACACGGCCCAGACUCCUACGGGAGGCAGCAGUGGGGAAUUUUGGACAAUGGGCGCAAGCCUGAUCCAGCAAUGCCGCGUGCAGGAAGAAGGCCUUCGGGUUGUAAACUGCUUUUGUACGGAACGAAACGG